GGAGGGGUAAUCCUAAUUGGUAAGGAAGCAUCCUGCUAAGGUGCCAGUAACCCGCAAGGGCGUGUGGGUUCAAGUCCCACCCUCUCCGCCA
rnacentral:tRNA from 1 species